GCGUCAGUAAUGCAAUGGGUUAGAGCACUCGCUCCCGAAUAGAGUGAGAUGUGAGGUUCGAGUCCCGCCUGACGCC